rnacentral:rRNA from 1 species
CCUACGGGGGGCAGCAGUGGGGAAUAUUAGACAAUGGGGGGAACCCUGAUCCAGCCAUGCCGCGUGUGUGAAGAAGGCCCUCGGGUUGUAAAGCACUUUCAGUGAGGAAGAACGCCUGGUGGUUAAUACCCAUCAGGAAAGACAUCACUCACAGAAGAAGCACCGGCUAACUCCGUGCCAGCAGCCGCGGUAAUACGGAGGGUGCGAGCGUUAAUCGGAAUUACUGGGCGUAAAGCGCGCGUAGGUGGCUUGAUAAGCCGGUUGUGAAAGCCCCGGGCUCAACCUGGGAACGGCAUCCGGAACUGUCAAGCUAGAGUGCAGGAGAGGAAGGUAGAAUUCCCGGUGUAGCGGUGAAAUGCGUAGAGAUCGGGAGGAAUACCAGUGGCGAAGGCGGCCUUCUGGACUGACACUGACACUGAGGUGCGAAAGCGUGGGUAGCAAACAGGAUUAGAUACCCUUGUAGUC